rnacentral:rRNA from 1 species
CCUACGGGAGGCAGCAGUGAGGAAUAUUGGUCAAUGGACGAGAGUCUGAACCAGCCAAGUAGCGUGAAGGAUGACUGCCCUAUGGGUUGUAAACUUCUUUUAUAUGGGAAUAAAAUGUUCCACGUGUGGGAUUUUGUAUGUACCAUAUGAAUAAGGCUCGGCUAACUCCGUGCCAGCAGCCGCGGUAAUACGGAGGGUCCGAGCGUUAUCCGGAUUUAUUGGGUUUAAAGGGAGCGUAGGUGGAUUUUUAAGUCAGUUGUGAAAGUUUGCGGCGCAACCGUAAAAUUGCAGUUGAAACUGGCAGUCGUGAGUACAGUAGAGGUGGGCGGAAUUCGUGGUGUAGCGGUGAAAUGCUUAGAUAUCACGAAGAACUCCGAUUGCGAAGGCAGCUCACUGGACUGCAACUGACACUGAGGCUCGAAAGUGUGGGUAUCAAACAGGAUUAGAUACCCUUGUAGUC